rnacentral:piRNA from 1 species
UAAAGUUUUCGCUCACCAAGUGGGAAGCUUC